UGCGAGGUAGAGCAGAGGUAGCUCGUCGGGCUCAUAACCCGAAGGUCAGCGGUUCGAAUCCACUCCUCGCUA
rnacentral:tRNA from 1 species